UACAAAGGGGGCUAGCGUUGCUCGGAAUGACUGGGCGUAAAGGGCGCGUAGGCGGAUGGCACAGUCAGAUGUGAAAUUCCCGGGCUUAACCUGGGGGCUGCAUUUGAUACGUGUUGUCUUGAGUUCGGAAGAGGGUCGUGGAAUUCCCAGUGUAGAGGUGAAAUUCGUAGAUAUUGGGAAGAACACCGGUGGCGAAGGCGGCGACCUGGUCCGACACUGACGCUGAGGCGCGAAAGCGUGGGGAGCAAACAGG
rnacentral:rRNA from 1 species